rnacentral:lncRNA from 1 species
GGGGCCUUGUCUCACACAAGUACAUGUGGGUAGGUACAAGGCACUUGUCAUUCUUAUAAAGAUGAAUUUUAAUCUUUAAACUUUAGUUUGAUUUAACAUUGUUUUAGUACGAUGCUGACACCAGCUGUGUGGAAAGGCCUCUGGAAAGAUUCAUAACAGCAGAUACCUGUGCCUCUUCCUCAGUUCUGGAAGCUCCAGGGCAGCCAUUAUUGCUUCAUCAAAUACAUUCUUGAGGCCUUUCUGUGUGAGUGCAGAACACUCCACAUACUUGACUGCCUUCUGGUCAUGUACCAGAUCUUCAGAAGUCUCUGGAGUGAUAGGCUUCUGUUUGUUCUUGGCAAGUUUCUCAAUUGUAGAGGGGUCAUCAUGGAGAUCAAUUUGAGUCCCAACAAGCAACACCUGGGACCAAGUUAGCACUUCUUUCAUGAGAAUGACUAGAAGCUCUUGCUUUUCUCAUCCUCAUCCUGAUGACUUCCCAUCAGAAACGUGACGAAUCUAAAUGGCUCAGGUUUCUGACAGUGGGAACAUCCUCGAUCUGCAGGGACCUGUAGCUCAUGCAACUUCAGAGACUCUUUGGAAAGGGAGACAAAGGUAAUAACCAUGUGCUUUAUAAAAAUUCAAAUGUGACAGAGACAUACAAUGAAAAAAUGAAAGCCCUCCCAACCAACCAUCCAGAAACCAACCAUUCAGAGGUAACCACCAUGAACAGUUUGGUGAAUAUUCAUGCAGAUUUUUUCAAUGUAUAUGCUAAGAUGUUUUAAUUUUUAAAAUUUAAACAAAACAAUGUAACAACAGAGAUACUUCUUUUUAUAAAGUAGGUUCCACGUCCAGUGUGGAGCCCAAUGUGGGGCUUGAACCCAUGACCCUGAGAUCAAGACUUGACUGAAAAUCAAGAGUCAGAUGCUUAGCCGACUGAGCUAACCUGUACUUCCAGGUAUACUUCUUUGAAACUAAUAUUUCUGAUGUUCCACAUGGAUUCCUUAUAGGACUUUUUCUCUAUACAAUCUCUCUCUAAAAAAUUUCAUGCAUUCUGUGAAAUUAAAUUAAAAU